ACGGGCCGGGGCGGCUCCGUUCGGUACCGGCGGGCUGAGCGCUCACAAACCGCCAUAGCAACGGCUACAACGGCACGGCCUCACCGGCGGCAUCCUGCCCUCAUCCAACAUGGCGGCCGGGGGGCGGAGCCGGGGGCGGAUCAGCGGCGUCCGGCAGCGCAGCGGCCGCGUCCGGCGUCAGCACCGGGAGCGGCUGAGGGAGCUGAGGCGGGCGGCCAACAUGUUCUCGUUCAACAUGUUCGACCAUCCCAUCCCCCGCGUGUUCCAGAACCGUUUCUCCACUCAGUACCGCUGUUUCUCCGUGUCCAUGUUGGCCGGGCCCAAUGACAGGUCAGAUGUGGAGAAAGGAGGGAAGAUAAUUAUGCCGCCGUCUGCUUUGGAUCAGCUCAGCCGCCUUAAUAUCACUUACCCAAUGCUGUUUAAGCUGACCAAUAAAAAUUCAGACCGAAUGACGCACUGUGGAGUGCUGGAAUUUGUGGCUGACGAGGGUAUAUGUUACCUACCACACUGGAUGAUGCAGAACUUGCUGCUGGAAGAGGGAGGCCUGGUACAGGUGGAGAGUGUUAAUCUCCAAGUUGCCACUUACUCAAAAUUUCAGCCACAGAGUCCGGAUUUUCUCGACAUCACCAAUCCCAAAGCUGUAUUGGAAAAUGCAUUGAGAAACUUUGCUUGUUUAACUACUGGAGAUGUUAUUGCCAUCAACUACAAUGAAAAGAUCUAUGAGCUUCGGGUAAUGGAGACCAAACCGGAUAAAGCUGUGUCCAUCAUAGAGUGCGACAUGAAUAUUAAAGUUGGAACAGUAGUUUGUGGAGCUCUGAGGAACAGUAGUAUAAAGCUUAUGAGAAAAAGAAGUACUUGUGCUUCUUUACCCUGUGUCAAUAGGUGGAUUUUGAUGCUCCUUUGGGGUACAAAGAACCAGAAAGAAGUGCUCAGCAUGAAGAGGCCACAGACGUUGAAGCAGACCAUAGUGGUUAUGUGAGCGACGUGGGAUUUCGUGCAUUCUCUGGCUCUGGGAACAGGUUGGAUGGCAAGAAGAAAGGCGUGGAGCCCAGUCCGUCACCAAUUAAACCAGGAGACAUUCGAAGGGGAAUACCCAACUAUGACUUCAAGAUUGGCAGAAUCACAUUCAUUAGGAACUCGCGUCCACUGGUGAAGAAAGUGGAAGAGGAUGACGCUGGGGGCCGGUUCAUCGCGUUCUCGGGGGAGGGGCAGAGCCUGCGCAAGAAGGGGAGGAAACCGUGAGAGGGAGCCGAGGUGUGGACGAAAAUAAACGGGAAUUACAGCGUGUUGGAUCGUAGUUAUUGCGGCUUGAGCUGACACACGGGCUGAAUCUACACUUGAAAAUAAACUUCUAGGACUUGUUUA